rnacentral:rRNA from 1 species
CUACGGGUGGCUGCAGUGAGGAAUAUUGCACAAUGGGGGGAACCCUGAUGCAGCAACGCCGCGUGGAGGAUGACGCAUUUCGGUGUGUAAACUCCUUUUAUAUGUCAAGAAAAUGACGGUAGCAUAUGAAUAAGCACCGGCUAACUCCGUGCCAGCAGCCGCGGUAAUACGGAGGGUGCAAGCGUUACUCGGAAUCACUGGGCGUAAAGGACGCGUAGGCGGGUUGGAAAGUCAGGUGUGAAAUCCUACAGCUUAACUGUAGAACUGCACUUGAAACUUCUAAUCUAGAGUAUGGGAGGGGGAGAUGGAAUUAGUGGUGUAGGGGUAAAAUCCGUAGAUAUCACUAGGAAUACCUAAUGCCGAGGCGAGCUCCAGGAGCAUUACUGACACAAACGAGUGAAUGCGUGGGGACCUACCAGGAUUAGAUACCCUUGUAGUC